rnacentral:rRNA from 1 species
GAUGAACGCUGGCGGCGUGCCUAAUACAUGCAAGUCGAGCGAACAGACGAGGAGCUUGCUCCUCUGACGUUAGCGGCGGACGGGUGAGUAACACGUGGAUAACCUACCUAUAAGACUGGGAUAACUUCGGGAAACCGGAGCUAAUACCGGAUAAUAUAUUGAACCGCAUGGUUCAAUAGUGAAAGACGGUUUUGCUGUCACUUAUAGAUGGAUCCGCGCCGCAUUAGCUAGUUGGUAAGGUAACGGCUUACCAAGGCAACGAUGCGUAGCCGACCUGAGAGGGUGAUCGGCCACACUGGAACUGAGACACGGACCAGACUCCUACGGGAGGCAGCAGUAGGGAAUCUUCCGCAAUGGGCGAAAGCCUGACGGAGCAACGCCGCGUGAGUGAUGAAGGUCUUCGGAUCGUAAAACUCUGUUAUUAGGGAAGAACAAAUGUGUAAGCAACUAUGCACGUCUUGACGGUACCUAAUCAGAAAGCCACGGCUAACUACGUG